rnacentral:lncRNA from 10 species
CAACAUAAUUCUGGAAGUCUCAGCCAGAGAAAUUAGGCAAGAGAAAAAAAAGGCAUACAAACUGGAAAGAAAGAAGAAAAAUUAUCUGUUCUCAGGUGUGGCUUUUCCAGUUGCACGGCGCAAGCUGUCGGUGGGUCUACCAUUCUGGGAUCUGGAGGACCGUGACCCACUGCCCACAGCUCCACUAGGUGGUGCUGAUAUAAUAUGCUUAGAUAAAUCUAAAGGAGCUGUUCAUGGUAUAUAUUCACCGAGUUUCAGUUUAAGUAGGCACAUUUCUAUUUUUGUAUUUGAUUUGAGUAUGGCCUAUAGUCUUGUCCU